UCUAGCAUUACUAGUAUUAGAGGCACUGCUGCCCGGUGACACAUGUUUAACGGCCGCGGUACCCUGACCGUGCAAAGGUAGCAUAAUCACUUGUUCUCUAAAUAAGGACUUGUAUGAAUGGCCACACGAGGGUUUAACUGUCUUUUACUUCUAAUCAGUGAAAUUGACCUAUCCGUGAAGAGGCGGAUAUAACUAAAUAAGACGAGAAGACCCUAUGGAGCUUAAAUUUAACAGUACAAACUAAUAAUUCAAAACCCCCAAUAGGCAGCAAUCUACCGUCCAUGUACUAUAAAUUUUGGUUGGGGUGACCUCGGAGCAUAAUAUAACCUCCGAAAAACAUACACACCAAGACCUCACCAGUCUAAGUAAAUCCACACCCAUUGACCCAAUAACUUGAUCAACGGACUAAGUUACCCUAGGGAUAACAGCGCAAUCCUAUUUUAGAGUCCAUAUCGACAAUAGGGUUUACGACCUCGAUGUUGGAUCAAGACAUCCUAAUGGUGCAGCCGCUAUUAAGGGUUCGUUUGUUC
rnacentral:rRNA from 1 species